rnacentral:rRNA from 1 species
CAGUAGCCACGGUAAUACGUAGGUGGCAAGCGUUGUCCGGAAUUAUUGGGCGUAAAGGGCUCGCAGGCGGUUUCUUAAGCCUGAUGUGAAAGCCCCCGGCUCAACCGGGGAGGGUCAUUGGAAACUGGGAAACUUGAGUGCAGAAGAGGAGAGUGGAAUUCCACGUGUAGCGGUGAAAUGCGUAGAGAUGUGGAGGAACACCAGUGGCGAAGGCGACUCUCUGGUCUGUAACUGACGCUGAGGAGCGAAAGCGUGGGGAGCGAACAGGAUUAGAUACCCGUGUAGUCCCUGUCUCUUAUAA